UGUGCCCUACGGGGGGCAGCAGUGGGGAAUAUUGCACAAUGGGGGAAACCCUGAUGCAGCGACGCCGCGUGAGUGAAGAAGUAUUUCGGUAUGUAAAGCUCUAUCAGCAGGGAAGAAGAAAGACGGUACCUGAGUAAGAAGCCCCGGCUAACUACGUGCCAGCAGCCGCGGUAAUACGUAGGGGGCAAGCGUUAUCCGGAUUUACUGGGUGUAAAGGGAGCGUAGACGGCAGAGAAAGUCUGAAGUGAAAGCCCGCGGCUCAACCGCGGAACUGCUUUGGAAACUUUUCGGCUAGAGUACCGGAG
rnacentral:rRNA from 1 species